UCUUUUGAUUUUAUAAUAAUAUAAUUAUCAUUGAUUGUUGUAUUUAUUAUAUGUACAUAUAUGAUUGACAAUGCGAAAGAUUCAGGAUACCUUCGGGACCCGUCUUGAAACACGGACCAAGGAGUCUAACAUAUGUGCAAGUCAUUGGGUUUUUAAACCUAAAGGCGAAAUUAACUUAACUGUUAAUGGGAUCAGUAUGUAUUUUUUAUAAAUAUAUAUUCAAUCCCGGGGCGUUCUAUAUAGUUAUGUAUAAUGGUAUUUAUAUUAUUUAUACCUCUAACUGGAACGCACCUUGAG
rnacentral:ncRNA from 1 species